rnacentral:rRNA from 1 species
GCUAAGAAUCUUGCGCAAUGGGCGAAAGCCUGACGCAGCAAUUCCGCGUGGGGGACGAAGGCCCUCGGGUCGUAAACCCCUUUUGCGAGGGAAGAAGUACUGACGGUACCUCGCGAAUAAGCCACGGCUAACUACGUGCCAGCAGCCGCGGUAAUACGUAGGUGGCGAGCGUUGUCCGGAUUUAUUGGGCGUAAAGAGCCCGCAGGCGGCCUGUUAAGUUUCAGGUGAAAUCUCCCGGCUCAACUGGGAGGGGUCCUGGAAAACUGUCAGGCUCGAGGCAGGGAGAAGGAUGCAGAAUUCCCGGUGUAGUGGUGAAAUGCGUAGAUAUCGGGAGGAAUACCAGUGGCGAAGGCGGCAUCCUGGCCCUGUCCUGACGCUCAGGGGCGAAAGCGUGGGGAGCAAACCGGAUUAGAAACCCUGGUAGUCC